rnacentral:rRNA from 1 species
UCCUCUGACGUUAGCGGCGGACGGGUGAGUAACACGUGGAUAACCUACCUAUAAGACUGGGAUAACUUCGGGAAACCGGAGCUAAUACCGGAUAACAUGUUGAACCGCAUGGUUCAACAGUGAAAGACGGUCUUGCUGUCACUUAUAGAUGGAUCCGCGCCGCAUUAGCUAGUUGGUAAGGUAACGGCUUACCAAGGCAACGAUGCGUAGCCGACCUGAGAGGGUGAUCGGCCACACUGGAACUGAGACACGGUCCAGACUCCUACGGGAGGCAGCAGUAGGGAAUCUUCCGCAAUGGGCGAAAGCCUGACGGAGCAACGCCGCGUGAGUGAAGAAGGUCUUCGGAUCGUAAAACUCUGUUAUUAGGGAAGAACAAAUGUGUAAGUAACUAUGCACGUC